rnacentral:ncRNA from 1 species
GGUAGUAGCAAAUAUUCAAACGAGAGCUUUGAAGGCCGAAGUGGAGAAGGGUUCCAUGUGAACAGCAGUUAAACAUAGGACCGACUGACCCAAGAGAUGGGCGAACACCGUUCGGAAGGGCGGGGCCAUGGCCUACGUCGCCCCCGGCAAAUCGAAAGGGAGCUGGGUUCAGAUUCCCGGACCUGGAGUGGCGGAGACAGGCGCCGUGAGGCGAUGCAAACUAUUCCGGAGAAGCUGGCGGGAGCCCCGGGAAGAGUUCUCUUUUCUUUGUGAAGGGCAGGGCGACCUGGAAUGGGUUUGCCCCGAGAGUGGCUCGCGCCCUGGAACGUGCCGCGCCUCUGGCGGCGUCCGGUGAGCUCUCGUCGGCCCUUGAAAAUCCGGAGGAUAGGGUGUAAGUCUCGCGCCAGGCCUUACCCAUAUCCGCAGCAGGUCUCCAAGGUGAACAGCCUCUGGCA